UAAUUGCAGAGUGAAUUUAUGGCACUUUACAAAAAAAAAUCCAUAUCCACCUUGUGUGCAACGUUUGUGUCUCCUUAUCAACUGCCGCUACUUUGAAAGAGGUAACGGUUUAUUGUCUGGAGACAUUCUCAUCAACUAUUUUUUUAACAAGAAUCGUCUUAAGAAACAGUUUUUAAAAUUAAAAAA
rnacentral:misc_RNA from 1 species